CCUACGGGCGGCUGCAGUGAGGAAUAUUGCGCAAUGGAGGCAACUCUGACGCAGCCAUGCCGCGUGCAGGAAGAAGGCGCUACGCGUUGUAAACUGCUUUUAAUCGGGAAGAAACCCCGGGACGUGUCCCGGGUUGACGGUACCGAUGGAAUAAGCACCGGCUAACUUCGUGCCAGCAGCCGCGGUAAUACGAAGGGUGCAAGCGUUAUCCGGAUUCAUUGGGUUUAAAGGGUGCGUAGGCGGAACAAUAAGUCAGCGGUGAAAGCCUGCAGCUUAACUGCAGAACUGCCGUUGAUACUGUUGUUCUUGAGUACGUUUGACGUGGGCGGAAUGUGCCGUGUAGCGGUGAAAUGCUUAGAUAUGGCACAGAACACCGAUAGUGAAGACAGCUCACGAAGACGAAACUGACGCUGAGGCACGAAAGCGUGGGGAGCGAACAGGAUUAGAUACCCCGGUAGUC
rnacentral:rRNA from 1 species